CACAUACAAUAAGCGGAGGAAAAGAAACCAACAGGGAUUGCCCUAGUAACGGCGAGUGAAGCGGCAACAGCUCAAAUUUGAAAUCUGGCUCUUUCAGGGUCCGAGUUGUAAUUUGUAGAGGGCGCUUUGGUGUUGGCUGCGGUCUAAGUUCCUUGGAACAGGACGUCACAGAGGGUGAGAAUCCCGUACGUGGUCGACAGUCUCCACCGUGUAAAGCCCCUUCGACGAGUCGAGUUGUUUGGGAAUGCAGCUCUAAAUGGGAGGUAAAUUUCUUCUAAAGCUAAAUAUUGGCCAGAGACCGAUAGCGCACAAGUAGAGUGAUCGAAAGAUGAAAAGCACUUUGGAAAGAGAGUCAAAAAGCACGUGAAAUUGUUGAAAGGGAAGCGCUUGCAAUCAGACUUGCCCGUAGUUGCUCCUCCAGGUUUCUACCUGGAUAACUCUUCGGCGGGCAGGCCAGCAUCAGUUCGGGCGGCUGGAUAAAGACCUCUGUCACGUAUCUUCCUUCGGGAUGACCUUAUAGGGGAGGUGUAAUGCAGCCAGCCUGGAUUGAGGUCCGCGCAUCUGCUAGGAUGCUGGCGUAAUGAUUGUAAGCGGCCCGUCUUGAAACACGGACCAAGGAGUCUAACAUCUAUGCGAGUGUUUGGGUGUCAAGCCCGGACGCGCAAUGAAAGUGAACGGAGGUGGGAACCCUCACGGGUGCACCAUCGACCGAUCCUGAUGUCUUCGGAUGGAUUUGAGUAAGAGCAUAGCUGUUGGGACCCGAAAGAUGGUGAACUAUGCCUGAAUAGGGUGAAGCCAGAGGAAACUCUGGUGGAGGCUCGCAGCGGUUCUGACGUGCAAAUCGAUCGUCAAAUUUGGGCAUAGGGGCGAAAGACUAAUCGAACUAUCUAGUAGCUGGUUCCUGCGUUUUUUCUCCUCUUUAGAGAAA
rnacentral:rRNA from 1 species